GAUGAACGCUAGCGGCAGGCUUAACACAUGCAAGUCGAGGGGCAGCACAGUGUAGCAAUACACGGGUGGCGACCGGCGCACGGGUGCGUAACGCGUAUCCAACCUUCCCGUUACUCUUGGAUAGCCUUCCGAAAGGGAGAUUAAUACAAGAUGGUAUUCAAAUUCCGCAUGUUAUUUGAAUUAAAGAUUUAUCGGUAACGGAUGGGGAUGCGUGACAUUAGAUAGUAGGCGGGGUAACGGCCCACCUAGUCUACGAUGUCUAGGGGUUCUGAGAGGAAGGUCCCCCACACUGGAACUGAGACACGGUCCAAACUCCUACGGGAGGCAGCAGUGGGGAAUAUUGCACAAUGGGCGAAAGCCUGAUGCAGCAACGCCGCGUGAAGGAAGAAGGUCUUCGGAUCGUAAACUUCUGUCCUUAGGGAAGAUAAUGACGGUACCUUUGGAGGAAGCCCCGGCUAACUACGUG
rnacentral:rRNA from 1 species